ACAGGUAGAGGCCUCGCGACGGGCCGAUUCCUCAUCUAAGGAGUCCUACCGAAUGUCUAUAGAUCAAGUCAACGAAAAGUUGGGACCCGCACUUAAAGAACGGGUCAUUCCCAGUAUCCCAGUGUGGAUAUUCAUUAACUUUGUAGUCAUUAAGGUACAGGAACUCCCGAGAUUUACGCAGCAGUGGUUAUCCAUUGAAUUGAUUAAUACGCAGUGAGGUCUGUAAAUGCGUUCACAUGUUAUUCCAGUUAGUUCUCAUUUUGCAAUGUGGAAUAAAAACUAUCCUAUGGUUGGAAUUCUGUUCUCGAAUUACGCGUGUCCUUGCAUCCCGCGAUUCAUUCGUGACAUCCAGUAUUUUGGUCACAUAUCACCUUUCAUAAACUUGCCAUGUUGGUAUUUUUAUGUGUUAUUUGCACGUUUCCUGACUUGUCAUAUUGUAAAAUGUGUAGUUGGUACCAGUAAAGAUGGCGACGUAAUAAUACAUAGGUUGUUAAUAUUAAAAACUGAAGAAAAUUGUAUUCAAAUUAUAUCGAAACAAAGAAAAUGUAAAAAGAGGUAAAUUUAGAAGAUUUUUGAAGCAGAAGGGUUCAUCGUAUUUCAGACAUUGUUAUUGUACGUCUACCAUGCAAAUUGUGAAAUUGAGAUGUCAGGUGCUCAUGGAGGCGAGUAUGAAGAUGACUAUUUUCUCGGAUGUUGCGUCAUGUAAUAUGUAGAUACUGACUGAUGUUUCAGACGAACCUACUGCCUUCGUCAUCAGGGCUAUGAGUAAGUAGAUGGUAUUUUGUUUAUAUCCAGUUUGAAGUGAGAGUGAAUGGAAAAUAUCCCCUUUUACAAAAGAAUGUUGCAUUUAAUAAGUUGUGUCUCUGGUUACAAUAACUAUAUAUUAUAUGGAAAACAAGUGUUCGAUUGUAGCUACGUUAUUAUUCCCGAUAUCGUUUCACUUUGAAUACGUUUUGAUCAUGAGUCAUGAAGACCACUCAACAGGCUUAUUACUAAUGUAAGAAUAUGUUUUGAGGUCGUCGCGGUAUGAGGUGAGAUUUUAGUUUGAGUUGUGACAUGUAAUAUUGUGGUUAAAGUGAAGAUGGAGACAGCUAGUUUCUCCGAAACUGUUCAAUCAUAAGGCUACACGGCACAACUCAGAAAACCACAAUGAACGUACAUGUAAUAUGGUACUAAGUUGUUUCGUGUUGUGUAACACAAGCCAGGGCAAAUAAAGCAGUUUGGUGGACGUAGGCCGACUGAUAACAUGUCUGUCGAGGAUUUUCAACCCACUAAAGCGAAUGUCCUCUGUGGAAGAUUCUAAGGUGCCGAUAUGCUACAAUAUUGUAUAUUAGUGGAUCCCAACAUUUGUAUGCAGUUUUGAUGGCGAACGUCACGGUGCAUUUCAUAGUACUAAUCAUCUAUUACUCUCUCUUUCGAAAUAUUCUAAGAAACUAUUAGACCGAGUGCAGUGGUUUCCACGGACGAGCAGUACUUUGAUGUUGCUGUGUGGUCUCUGGACAGCUGGAUAAUAUUUUCCAUUCUCACACGACUUGUCCCCAGAGAAGACUUCUUUCAAAUAAGGCAUAUGCGAUGUCUGACAGGAGAUAUAUCAGCUGCAUUUUCACAAAGAACUCGGCGUUUCUGGAAAAUGCCAAACAAAUGUUUUAAAAGCUCAGAUACGAUUUAGAAGCGUAGUUCACAACGAGUCGACUGCACCGUAUACAUCGUGUUCUCAUUGCAUGCAGUGAUUCAGAACUGGUUACAAGUUUCGUAUAUUGUCAAAAUAAACAGCUACUGUUUCAUUAAAAAUCAUAAAUAGAUUUUUUUAAGUUGGAGCUGAAUGUUUAAAUAAUAUUCAGACGAACUUCUUGCUUCGAAGGUGUUACAAUUCGUACGCAGUUGUCCCUUUGAAUUACAAAGUUUCUUAUUAUCCUUCAUACUGACCAAAAUUUUGUCAACAGUUGACAGACAUUUUUCUGUGCUGAAAUAAAAACCAUGCACGUUUAUCUUAAUGUCAAA